rnacentral:lncRNA from 1 species
CUAUGCACGGGCGGGGUUGGGGGCGGAACGGAGAGCCCGGGUGUCCUCAACCCUGGCAAAUGGUCACGGCCUCUGCCAGAGAACUCGAGGCGCCGCUGCUCUAACAUCCCGACUCUUGUCACUUUUCAGGAUCCAGCCCGAGUGGACCUGCUCCGGAGGCUGUGGGCCCUGCGACGGCACCUCAGAGCCGAGGCUCUGGGCCAGGCACAGCGGACGGUGACCAUCCCGGUAGGGCUGUUCUGGCCGCGGGCCUGCUCUGCUGGACCCUUCCACGUGGCCCCCGUCGUGGCCCUGACUGCAGACCGGCCCCAGACGCCGCUGGUCAUCAGCAUCUCCUGCGUCAUCACCAGCCUCAGCUAUGCCAGCUCCUGUCUCGGCCCCUCCUCUGCGCCUUCCUGGACGAGAGCUUCCAAAACAGCCUCCAGAGCAUGUUCCAGUGCUCAGGGGCCUGGGUGGCCCUCCCUCCGGAGCCCCAGUGUGUCCGUUAGGACAAGAGCUGUCGCUCUGGAGGAACAUCCCUUGCUCACAUCCCGUCAUUAUGUUCUCCACACGGGAGAGAAAGGGCCAGGGAGCUUGGCCACCGAACCUGCAGUGAUGACCACGAGCCUGUCCCUUCCCAGGCCUCAGCCCCUGGGUGAGGAGCUGCAGGGAUGCGGGUCCCGGCACCCCCCCCCAUGCCCUUCAGACCCAGGCUGAAGUUCUUGGCACCAUAGACAUCCCGACUCACGACCUCCCUGGAUGUCCCUUGGCCAUCCUCCCUGCCAACCGUAGUCCGGAGGGAGAGAAACCCAAACCGCGACCUCAUCCUGGGGCCCCCACUGCAUUCCCGCCGGGACCCUGGGCUGGAUCCCCCCAAGACACGAGGAGCAGGUGAUGGAAAUGUGAACACCUGGGGCCGGAGAGCCAAGUGUCCCCGCAAAAGCCACAGACUCAGUCCUCAAGCACGGCCACAGAAUGCGCUCCCGUCACUUGGAACCCGGAUGGCGUUUCACCAGGAGGCGGCCGUGUGCCCCGUGUCACAGCUGGUGGCCCCCCAUAC